CCACCUCCUCCUCCUCCCAGCUCUGCCGCUGCCGCCGCCGCCGCCGCCGGAAAAGGCGCCGAAGAAACCGCCUCACUUCCCCUCCCGAUCACGCAGGCGCAACAAGGCCGACCGUUCAACGAGAGCGACCUCUGACCCGUCCACGUUACUUAAAAGUAACAGUGUUACCAAGAGUUCCCGUGCCUUGGCGCAUUUUCAGCUUUUUAAGCAUAGUAUUCUGCAUUUGAUCUGCCUUACUUCCUGACUUGCUGGUAAGGGAUUCAGCUUCUCAAGGAGAUCUUUCUAAUGGCCAAGUUGGUGGUGAAAGCAAAGAUGGAAGAACUUUCCAUGUUACAGGACCCAGAGAAAAGAUUAAUCUUCCAAAUCUCAAGAAAAGGUGGCAUACCAAGAACAAACAAGGGAGCAGUUUUUGCUGUUGAGUACCUUUGGACUUUCAGUAUACAACUGUCUGUAGUAGGUCCUAUUCUAAGAUACAAUUUUGAGCAUAGUGUCCAAAAUUUAUGUGUGGAAAUGGUUGUAAAAUCCUAG
rnacentral:lncRNA from 1 species